GAAAGCGCUUCCCUUCAGAGUG
rnacentral:miRNA from 1 species